rnacentral:rRNA from 1 species
UACGUAGGGGGCAAGCGUUGUCCGGAUUUAUUGGGCGUAAAGAGCGUGUAGGCGGUUAGGUAGGUCCGUUGUGAAAACUCGAGGCUCAACCUCGAGACGCCGAUGGAAACCAUCUAGCUAGAGUCCGGAAGAGGAGAGUGGAAUUCCUGGUGUAGCGGUGAAAUGCGCAGAUAUCAGGAAGAACACCCGUGGCUAAGGCGGCUCUCUAGUACGGUACUGACGCUGAGACGCGAAAGCGUGGGGAGCGAACAGG